GACGAACGCUGGCGGCGUGCUUAACACAUGCAAGUCGAACGGAAAGGUCCUGCUUUUGUGGGGUGCUCGAGUGGCGAACGGGUGAGUAACACGUGAGUAACCUGCCCUUGACUUUGGGAUAACUUCAGGAAACUGGGGCUAAUACCGGAUAGGAGCUCCUGCUGCAUGGUGGGGGUUGGAAAGUUUCGGCGGUUGGGGAUGGACUCGCGGCCUAUCAGCUUGUUGGUGGGGUAGUGGCUUACCAAGGCUUUGACGGGUAGCCGGCCUGAGAGGGUGACCGGCCACAUUGGGACUGAGAUACGGCCCAGACUCCUACGGGAGGCAGCAGUGGGGAAUAUUGCACAAUGGGCGGAAGCCUGAUGCAGCAACGCCGCGUGCGGGAUGACCGCCUUCGGGUUGUAAACCGCUUUCGCCUGUGACGAAGCGUGAGUGACGGUAAUGGGUAAAGAAGCACCGGCUAACUACGUG
rnacentral:rRNA from 1 species